AUACGGAGGGUGCAAGCGUUGUUCGGAAUUACUGGGCGUAAAGCGCGCGUAGGCGGUCUGUUAUGUCAGAUGUGAAAGUCCUCGGCUCAACCGGGGAAGUGCAUUUGAAACUGGCAGACUUGAGUACGGGAGGGGGUGGUGGAAUUCCCAGUGUAGAGGUGAAAUUCGUAGAUAUCGGGAGGAAUACCGGUGGCGAAGGCGACCACCUGGCCAGAUACUGACGCUGAGGUGCGAAAGCGUGGGGAGCAAACAGGAUUAGAAACCCUAGUAGUCC
rnacentral:rRNA from 1 species